rnacentral:tRNA from 1 species
GGAGAGGUGCCGGAGCGGUUGAACGGGGCGGUCUCGAAAACCGUUGACCCUUCGCGGGGUCCCAGGGUUCGAAUCCCUGCCUCUCCGCCA